UCAGUUGUCAUUUUUAUAUUUUAAGAACCGAUCUUGCUGUGAGUAAUUGGAAAGUGUGGGCUCUCUCAUAAACACAGUUCCAUCACUGCCUCUCAACUUGACCAUGAAGUCCAUACAGACCCCACUCCACCUGGGCUCCUACAGAGCUCAGCUUCGAUGUACUCCUCAAAUUGCUGCAACCACCUCCUCCCUGUCCUGCUGGGCCUGCUCUAACAAUGUGACGUGAUGUGUCCUUCUAG
rnacentral:lncRNA from 1 species